UACGUAGGGUGCGAGCGUUGUCCGGAAUUAUUGGGCGUAAAGAGCUCGUAGGUGGUUUGUCGCGUUGUUCGUGAAAACUCACAGCUCAACUGUGGGCGUGCGGGCGAUACGGGCAGACUAGAGUACUGCAGGGGAGACUGGAAUUCCUGGUGUAGCGGUGGAAUGCGCAGAUAUCAGGAGGAACACCGGUGGCGAAGGCGGGUCUCUGGGCAGUAACUGACGCUGGAGGAGCGAAAGCGUGGGGAGCGAACAGGA
rnacentral:rRNA from 1 species